rnacentral:rRNA from 1 species
CGUAGGGUGCAAGCGUUGUCCGGAAUUAUUGGGCGUAAAGAGCUCGUAGGCGGUCUGUCGCGUCGGCUGUGAAAUCCCGAGGCUCAACCUCGGGUCUGCAGUCGAUACGGGCAAACUAGAGUAUUGCAGGGGAGACUGGAAUUCCUGGUGUAGCGGUGAAAUGCGCAGAUAUCAGGAGGAACACCGGUGGCGAAGGCGGGUCUCUGGGCAAUAACUGACGCUGAGGAGCGAAAGCGUGGGGAGCGAACAGG